GACUUAAUAAACCACAGUGGCGACAAGCAUGGUCUUGUUUUUGGUUGGAUGAGCCUAAAUAUGGCGGCGCUUCUUCUCCAUCUACCUGAUUUUUGGGAUUUAUUCAAAAUGUAAGGCCCAUUUCAUAUAGUAACUGUAGUAUUCUUCAGUUAAAUAAAUUCGUUCUAUAUACAAUCGAAUACUAUCAGGCCCAAUAAUUUAGAUUUUGACAUGUGUCAGUUCAGUUCAGUCAAUUGUAUUUUUAAGUUCUAUGUCCCCAUUCGCCAUUUUUUGGCUGAAUUUGAAAGAACUGUCGCCACUAUAUUUAAUUAAGUCAAUCACGAGUGACUCGGCUGAUGAAUUCAAUCGAGACGUACGGAUAUAUUGUGAAUUGACCUUUAGUGAACAGCGUAGGUUUUUGGGACUCCCCUGAUCUCGAGGCUCCAAAGCGUGCGCUUAUUGCGCCUAUAUGGGGAUCCACCUCUGAUUCAAGCUGUAACAGGUUACAUGUCAAAAAUCAAUGCUACCAAUUUGACAAACUCAGUAUGAUGGUUAAAACAAACAUUUCUAAACAAAGUAUUCAACUUCAAUGACUAUUUAAUUAUGUACCUGAUCGUUUCUGGAUUCUUGAGAUUGACCAUCCUGGACUCUGUGAGAAGAUGGUGGGACCCAGCGUCGCUUGGCGGGUUGGACGUCGUCCUGGCCCGAAACACGAGCUUGUGGCCCCGUUUGCCUGGGGCUCUCCGUGUUGGAAGUUGAGCAACUCACGACAGUGACUGUGCCGCGCUCUGGAUUUUGUAUUUCCAAAAUUUCUUGUUAGACUUUUCCCUGUAAACUGUUACAGACGAAUUUUAAUAAAGAGAACUUGCAAAUUUAUUUAAUCAGAAGA